ensembl:lncRNA LINC01476 long intergenic non-protein coding RNA 1476
CUUUCCAAAGAUGGAUGCAAAUGCUGGGAAAGCAAGAGUUGAAUUGCUAGCCAUGAGGAAAACGUAAGCCUGAGCUGUUUGCUGGCCAUCUUUGCUUCCACAUGGGGAUGGCCUGCCUGGAAAUGAAGCCACACAGAGAAAACAGAAGAGCAGUGAAGAGAAGGGUAAAAGGAGAGAUCCCAUGACAUGAUUUGCACUCUUAGAUCCAGUUAUGCCUGAUGCAGGACCCACCCCUUGGACUUCCCAUUUCCAGGAGCUAAAACUAGACUGAGUUGAGUUUCUGUCACUGACAGUUGACAGAAAAUAUCAACAAUCCAGCCACAUGGAGCCUCAUGGCAGUACCACUAACCCUGGUCACCACAUGAAUACUGACCAGAGGCAUUUCACCUGAAUCAACUGUUUGUGUUCUUAACUCCAUCUCCUCAUCUGCUUCCUGGAAGACCCAACUGACAUAGAUGGUUACAAGAAAUGAUUUCCUCCUUAUAAAACUCUAGAUGUCAAUGUGAUCUUUCACAAGCACACUGAAAAAUUCACACCGUGGAAAAGAACUAAAGUCCCAUCCUAAUUCAUCAGAGCCUUCUGUUUCCUGUAACAAAGAAGAACUCACAAGAUCAGGAUUCCAAGCUUCUUGUAUAGAAGAUACCUAAAAAGUGUUUGCUGAAUGAAGAAAUAAAGGAUUGCUCAGGCACCACUGGCACUUUAAGUUGUUCAGCAAGUACUCGUGCCUCUUAAGAACUGGCCAAGGGCCGGGCGUGGUGGUUCAUGCCUGUAAUCCCAGCAUUUUGGGACGCCGAGGCGGGCAGAUCACGAAGUCAGGAGUUCGAGACCAGCGUGGCCAACGUGGUGAAACCCCAUCUCUACUAAAAAUACAAAAACUUAGCCGGGUGUGGUGGCCUGCGCCUGUAGUCCCAGCUACUCGGGAGGCUGAGGCACAAGAAUUGCUUGAACCCACGAGGAGGAGCUUGCAGUAAGCCGAGAUCGCGCCAUUGCACUCCAGCCUGGGCAACAGGGCAAGACUCUGUCCUGAAAGAAAAAAAAAAAAAAAAAAAAAAAGAACUGGCCGAGGUCUUAGCUGGAGCACUCUCUCUACCCUGCAUGUUUGACUGCAUUUCUGUCCAUUUUCAAUCCGUUUUGGUUAUACGUUUUUUCACACAGGUCUGUUGAACUUAGAACACCGAAGGCCUGUGUAUUUUCAUGGCUCACAGCUCAUGUUGUGUUGACCUGCCCCACUGUGGUUAAUGUUUAGCCCCUAAACCACCAGCUGAAUGUCCUUAAAUCUGAAAGAAUAAUGAACACACGCCAACAGAUAGCUUAGGUUUAUUUGGUGACUUGCGCCACAUACUUUGCGAAUAUCAUCUCAGUCAUCCUUUUAGCAUCUCUCUCAGGCACAUACUCUCCUCUGUGGUGGCUCAUGCCGGUAAUCCCAGCCCUUUGGGAGGCCGAGGCGGGCAGAUCACUUGAGGCAAGGAGUUCGAGACCAGCCUGGCCAACACGGUGAAACCCCAUCUCUACUAAAAAUACAAAAAUUAGCCGGCUAUGGUGGCAUGCGCCUGUAAUCCCAGCUGCUCGAGAGGCUGAGGCAGGAGAAUCAUUUGAACCCAGGAGGCAGAGGUUGCAGUGAGCCUAGACUGCACCAUUGCACUUCAGCCUGGGUGAGACCCCAUCUCAAAUCAAUCAAUCAAUCAAUCAAUCAAUCAAUCAAUAAGGGAAAAGCUAUCACACAGCAGAAUACAGUCCAAGGGUAACUACUGAAGGGCCAGAUCAAGGAGCAAAGUCUAUCAUGUAUCAACCUUUACAGUGUCCCCAAGGGUCAGCUGUGUAUAGGGGCCCACACAGAAUUUGGAAUCCAAAUACAUCUCUGGAUCCCCAGGCCUGUGUUUGACUCGCCAGGUAGUAAUGAGAUGUCUCCAUUUUCUGCAGGCUGAAUGAUUCCCUCAGAGCAGAAGUAUAAGCAUAUUUAUUGUUUUUCCUUCUAUCAUAAACAGUUAUUAGUUGUGGCCCUUUCUCCCUUCCAAAUAGGUGCCCAAAUUUCUGGAAGUGGAAAGGGCCCAACUUUCCCAUAUCAGGGGGUGGGCCCCACUGGGCGUGAGCCAAUCAGUGUCUUCUGUCCUGUGAGCUCCCGAUUUAUGCUGGUCUAUAACCUGAGAUGGCCUUCUCAGGAUGGACCUCCAGGGAUUGCUGGAACUUGGACUCUUGUCAGCCUGGUAAAUGGUAUGUCUUAGAUCUGCUGCAGCCGUCGUGGAAAACUUGAAGCUGCCAGGAGAGAGGGGUUCCAACAUGUGGUGGCUAAAGAAUGAAUCCAACUCAAAGGAAGCAGAGCCAAGAAAUGGAUCCAUGCUGUUUGAAUCUUGGAUCAAAUUGUGCCUGGAUCUCCAGUGAGACAAUAAAUUCCUGUAUUACUCAA